AGGUUUAGGCUGCUGCGGCACAGGCCAAAUAUUAACUCAUUUUGGUUUCGGAAUCGGAUUCGGGGAUUCGGGGUAUCGGGGUUAGGCCUGUAAAAACUUUCCCUUGCCUGUGUGGCCUGUGGAUGUGGUGGGUUCAGUUUGAGGAAUUAAUUUAAUUAAAAUUGAUUAGAGAACAUUGGCGGCAGGCGUACAGCAAUGAUUGAGCUGUUUGCUGUGCAAUGAAGCGAGCGAGCUGGCCGGAAUAGAUGGAAAACACAUUUCCAUAAACACAUUUAAUUGAAUUAAAUAUUAUCGAAUGCGAAAAAAAUUGCUAUUUGUCUUUAAUUUUACCAAUGUCUGACUGAACUGUGUAUUAUAAACGGGCUUUUAUAACUUUAUUCACAGGCAGUUGAGAGCGAGCAUACUUUUGUUUUUUUUGUCAUAAUACCUUUUGCUUUAGUUAUUUUUUAUGUUAAUUAAUUUUGUAAUUAAAUAUGCAUUUAUGGCCUGGCGCGAACAUAAUUCAUCUGGCGUACAUCCAGCGGCCAUGUUGACACAUGUUUGAAACGUAAAUAAAUAAUGCAACAAACAAACAAGAAGCAAUGCAACGCAACGGACACCGUAAACAGGGAUGUGGGAAAGUGGGAGGGUAAAUAUAUUUCAAAUAAAUAUUAAUGGCUGCGACCAGGCGCAAAUGAUUUUCAUGUAAUUAUACAAAUAGCUAAUUA